AAUAAGGGCGUAUGGGGGAUGCCUUGGCUCUCAGAGAUGACGAAGGACGUGAUAAGCUGCGAAAAGCUACGGGGAGGUGCAAAUAACCUUUGAUCCGUAGAUGUCCGAAUGGGGCAACCUGGCUGGUUGAAGACCAGUCGUGCGCAAGCACAGCAACCCGGAGAACUGAAACAUCUAAGUACCCGGAGGAAGAGAAAACAAUAGUGAUUCCGCAAGUAGUGGCGAGCGAACGCGGAUUAGCCCAAACCUCAUGGCAAUAGUUAUGGGGGGUUGUAGGACUGAUAAAUUAAUUAUCUGCGAAGUGGAAGUUGUUUGGAAAACAACACCGUAGAGGGUGAAAGUCCCGUACACGCAGUUCGAUAAUUAGAGUCAGUAUCCUGAGUAGGGCGGGGCCAGUGGAACCCUGUCUGAAUCUGCCGGUACCAUCCGGUAAGGCUAAAUACUCCUGAGAGACCGAUAGUGAACCAGUACUGUGAAGGAAAGGUGAAAAGAACCCCAAGCAGGGGAGUGAAAAGAACCUGAAACCAUACGCCUACAAGCGGUCGAAGCCCUUCGGGGUGACGGCGUGCCUUUUGCAUAAUGAGCCUACGAGUUACUCUUCCCUAGCAAGUUUAAGGACUUCAGGUCCGUUAAGCGAAGCGAAAGCGAGUCUGAAUAGGGCGUCAAGCUAGUGGAGGUAGACGCGAAACCUGGUGAUCUACCCAUGGGCAGGUUGAAGUUCCGAUAGUCUCGGAAUGGAGGACCGAACCGGUACAUGUUGAAAAAUGUUCGGAUGACCUGUGGGUAGGGGUGAAAGGCUAAUCAAACCAGGAGAUAGCUCGUACUCCCCGAAAUGCAUUUAGGUGCAGCGUGUUAUCAGUUUCAUAGAGGUAGAGCUACUGAUUGGAUGCGGGGGCUUCACCGCCUACCAAUUCCCGACAAACUCCGAAUGCUAUGAAACGUUGUAACGCAGUGAGGGCAUGGGUGCUAAGGUCCAUGUCCGAGAGGGAAAGAACCCGGACCACCGGCUAAGGUCCCCAAAUAUAUGCUAAGUUGACAAAACGCGGUGGGACUGCACCGACAGCCAGGAUGUUGGCUUGGAAGCAGCCAUUCAUUUAAAGAGUGCGUAACAGCUCACUGGUCGAGCGGUCCCGCAUGGAUAAUGAUCGGGCAUAAGCAUAUUACCGAAGCCGUGGCCCGCGUACAUGAGUACGCGGGGGUAGGGGAGCAUUGUAACGGCGCCGAAGGGGGACCUGCGAGGGCCCCUGGAGCUUUUACAAACGAAAAUGUAGGCAUAAGUAACGAUAAGCGGUGCGAGAAACACCGCCGCCGAAAGACCAAGGUUUCCCCGGCCAUGCUAAUCAGCCGGGGGUCAGUCGGGACCUAACGCGUACCCGAAAGGGGAAGUGGAUGGACAAGCGGUCAACAUUCCGCUACCCGCACGGUGCCAAAAGCGACGGAGGCGAGGAGUCGGUGCGUGCAGACGGAAUUGCACGUUGAAGGGAACGGCAACGUCCCGAUAGUACGCCAAGGCCACGGCCGAGGCGAUAAUCCGGCAUAUCGACUUCCAAGAAAAGCGAACCGUGCGGCCCGUACCGUAAACCGACACAGGUGGUCGGGAUGAGAAUUCCAAGGCGCUCGAGAGAUUCAUGGUCAAGGAACUAGGCAAAAUGGACCCGUAACUUCGGGAGAAGGGUCGCCCCCCUCCGGGGGGGCCGCAGUGAAGAGGUCCAGGCGACUGUUUAUCAAAAACACAGGGCUCUGCAAAAUCGAGAGAUGACGUAUAGGGCCUGACACCUGCCCGGUGCCGGAAGGUUAAGGGGAGAUGUGAAUCCUUCGGGAGGAAGCAUUGAACUGAAGCCCCGGUAAACGGCGGCCGUAACAAUAACGGUCCUAAGGUAGCGAAAUUCCUUGUCGGGUAAGUUCCGACCUGCACGAAUGGUGUAACGAUCUGGGCACUGUCUCAGCCGUGAGCUCGGUGAAAUUGAAGUAUCGGUGAAGAUGCCGAUUACCCGCAACGGG
rnacentral:rRNA from 1 species